UACGAAGGUCCCAAGCGUUAUCCGGAUUUAUUGGGUUUAAAGGGUGCGUAGGCGGGCUAUUAAGUCAGUGGUGAAAGCCCCAAGCUUAACUUGGGAACUGCCAUUGAUACUGAUGGUCUUGAGUACAUUUGAGGUGGGCGGAAUGUGUCAUGUAGCGGUGAAAUGCUUAGAUAUGACACAGAACACCGAUUGCGAAGGCAGCUCACUAAACUGUAACUGACGCUGAGGCACGAAAGCGUGGGGAGCAAACAGGAUUAGAUACCUGGUAGUCC
rnacentral:rRNA from 1 species